rnacentral:rRNA from 1 species
GGAGCUGAUCAGCCAUGCCGCGUGUGUGAAGAAGGCCUUUUGGUUGUAAAGCACUUUAAGCGAGGAGGAGGCUCUUAAGGUUAAUACCCUUGAUGAGUGGACGUUACUCGCAGAAUAAGCACCGGCUAACUCUGUGCCAGCAGCCGCGGUAAU